GAUGAACGCUAGCUACAGGCUUAACACAUGCAAGUCGAGGGGUAACAAGAGAAAAGCUUGCUUUUCUUGUUGACGACCGGCGCACGGGUGAGUAACGCGUAUCCAACCUGCCUAUAACUAGGGAAUAACCUUGCGAAAGUAAGACUAAUACCCUAUGAUUUCCUUUGAUGACAUCAGAUUAGGAAUAAAGAUUUAUCGGUUAUAGAUGGGGAUGCGUCUGAUUAGCUUGUUGGCGGGGUAACGGCCCACCAAGGCAACGAUCAGUAGGGGUUCUGAGAGGAAGGUCCCCCACAUUGGAACUGAGAAACGGUCCAAACUCCUACUGGAGGCAGCAGUGAGGAAUAUUGGUCAAUGGGCGGAAGCCUGAACCAGCCAAGUAGCGUGCAGGAUGACGGCCCUAUGGGUUGUAAACUGCUUUUAUACAGGAAUAAAGUUAGCCACGUGUGGUUAUUUGUAGGUACUGUAUGAAUAAGGACCGGCUAAUUCCGUGCCAGCAGCCGCCGUAA
rnacentral:rRNA from 1 species